rnacentral:misc_RNA from 1 species
AAGGGGCGCUAGUGCAUCGCGUCGGACAAAGAGUGGACGUAAAAACGAUACCAAAGGAUUAACUACACGAAGUGCGGCGCCCAAGGUUUUUUUAUACACACGCCGAUGAUACAUUAUACCUUGUACUUCGAGGGAUCUAUGGUGUUUCAGCUGUAUCAUUAGAUUGAAGGGAAAUCUAUUUUUUUUUUUGUUUGUUUCUGCUUCGUCACUCGUAAUUUAACGCAGCUCUCAAGAAGCCAGGCUCUACGUGACAGCUGCUUGGUAACACGACCGAGUCACCCACCAAAGAGCCACUCUCAUUCCCGUGUUAGACAGUGUCCACCAACGGUCCAGAAGUUGACGGGCGAUCAGUCCAAACGAAAAUCCAACAGCCAAGUCCGAGCUCGAGACGAGAGAGCUUUGUGCGCCGGUCGCGGGCCCUAUGUUGUGCGGCGAGCUGGUGAACGGUGGGCUCGCGAGUGCUGGUGCUGUCUCGGUGCCCUGCGGCCUCGUCAGACUCGGGCUGCCCGGCUGUCUGAAGGCCGGCUCGAGGCCGGUCACCGGCUCGCCUUACGUCUCCAUCCUGGCCGAAUUUCUCGCCGCCAGCUAUCUCGAGGAGGUGAGGCUUGCAGCCGAGCUCCGGGAGCAGCGGCGACUCGCGCUUUUGAGACACAUGGCGGCCGAUCCGCAGCAGAUGCAGCCCUUCGACAAUCGCCACGGCAUUGGGGACCUUGAGCUCGAACUGCAGAGCGACCCUGACGAGGAUGUACUGCUCGAGAACGGACUGCUGUCAUUCGAGAAUCCAAACUAUCACCUUGACUCGGUGCGUUUCGACGAUGCCCUCAACAGCAACGAGAACGGCAGUUCCAUCUACGACGAGCUGUAUCAAGAACUAGUUGUCGGCAACGGCGGCAGGGGAGUCGGCGUCCGAGUUGGUGGCAACGAGAGCACGAGGGUCCAGGGACGUAGAGCUUACGCUUCCCUCGACAUAGGCAGCAUGGGUGUCGACGUGACCCAAGGACCUCUUACUCAGGAUCCCACUGUUGCCAACAUCGUCAUGCCACCUGACAACAGCGAGAAUCACAAUAUGAGGUACGGCAGUGGCGAGGACAGGAGCUUCGCCGAGUCGAGCCUGAUCGACGACACCCUCAACGGGAACCCACCGCAGAAGACUCCGGAGGACGUGACACCUCGCCCCCAACUCGACCACGCCAACGUUGGAAAUUAUUGCGAGAAAACCGAGAACAACCUAAAGUCAGACAUGGGCGGCGUACCGCACAUUGAAGGCGUAAACAACGAGCUGUACGCCAACGUGCCCGUCAAGAGGCGCCACCCCAAGCAGGAGAAACAACAGCCCCAGCAGAUCUUGCAGAACAACGUCGACCAACCGGAGAAGCCGGUCGACGAGAACAGCGUCGAUUCCGAGGACAAAGACGAGAACCUGCCCCCCGGCUGGGAGAAACACGAGGACAAAGAUGGCCCGUACUACUGGCACAUCAAAAGCGGCACGAUUCAGCGCGAACCACCGGAGGCUCGUCUUUCGAAACCCGAGUCCCGCAGAAGCUUCAUCAAGGACAAUGACAGUGUGAACAAUUUCAACUCCAUCGGGGGACUGGUGAACACCGUGACGCGGAGCAACACGAGCUACGCACUGGACCAGGAGUUAGAGAACAAGAGAAAAGAAGAGCUGGCACUCAAACGGCGUAGUUACCCGGCACGCACCGACUCGGACGACAGAAACAAGACGAUAAGGUUCGCGGUGCGGUCGCUCGGUUGGACGGAAAUAGCCGAGGAGGACUUGACGCCCGAGCGCAGCAGUAAGGCCGUCAACAAGUGCAUCGUCGAUCUCUCGCUUGGGAGGAAUGACUUGCUCGACGUCGUCGGACGAUGGGGUGAUGGCAAGGAUCUGUUUAUGGAUUUGGACGAGGGAGCCCUGAAACUGAUAGACCCGGAGAAUCUCACGGUGCUCAAUACUCAGCCCAUCCACACUCUUCGAGUUUGGGGCGUGGGUCGAGACCACGGACGGGAAAGGGACUUUGCGUACGUGGCGCGUGACCGUAGCACGCGCAAGCACAUGUGCCACGUGUUCCGUUGCGACAUACCGGCCCGCACGAUCGCCAACACGCUGCGCGACAUCUGCAAGAAGAUCAUGAUCGAGCGCUCGCUCCACCAGAGUUUGGCCAAGCCGGUCGACAUAAACGGCCGCACAAACUCGGUGACCCGACCGACUAACCUGCCCACCGAGCAUCGGCGCUUCCACAGAAAUGGACAGGCGCUCGUCACACAAUCCUUCCCGACGCCGAUGGAGGAGCCGAAAAAAGUGCUGCGCGCCCAGUAUCUCGGAUCGAUCCAAGUAUCCCAGGCAACGGGCAUGGACGUGCUCAACGACGCGAUUGAACAGGUCGCCACCAACACGCCUAUCAAUCAGUGGCGCAACGUCAACGUCGCCAUCGCCCCCAGCAUGAUCUCCAUUCUUACGCCAAACGAGGACAAACUAAUAGUCGAGUGUCGAGUGCGUUAUCUGUCGUUCCUGGGCAUCGGACAGAACCCAAAACAAUGCGCCUUUAUAAUGCACACAGCCCAGGACCUUUUCUUCGCGCAUGUGUUCAACAGCGAGCCCAGCAGUGGUGCACUAUGCAAAACGAUUGAGGCCGCCUGCAAGCUAAGGUACCAGAAGUGUCUGGACGCCCACCCGCCGGGUUUUCGGAACGCCAGCAGCGCCAACACGCCGAGCAGCCGCGGCCUGGGAGCAACUUUGAAAUCGUUCGUCGGCUCGAUCACCGGCCGGAAGAACAAGCAGAACGAGUCCUGAGAUGAGGCUCUCUCGCUCCAGGUGUGUAGUAGCUCAUCCACGAGAUGUAAGACCGCUUUAGCCGAGACGAUGCCGAUGCCGAUGACGAUGCUGAACGCCGGACGCGCUGCUAGGUCGAACAACGCCACGAGACCCUUACCUCUCAUUCAUCGCUAUGGCCGUUACACUUCUUCUUCUUCUUCUUGCUCUUCUUCUUCUUCCUCCUCGCAACCGACCGCACACGACCGGACGGCUGUUUAAGGAAGCGAGGGAAAGAAAGUUCUCAGAGAUACGAUAUAUUGCGAUAGGAACUUUGGCCACUGCCUGCCGAGCGAGAGGUCAUCCGACACCGACACCUGCAGUCACCUCUGACCCUCAAAUACUUCGGAGCAACGUCGCCACCGAGUGCCUCGCUCAAGUCCCUGCUCUCGCCCAGCCUCGACUCGCGGCGCAUCCAGAUCGCCCGCUGGGAGAGCAGUAAAUCUUAGAAGGAGAACGAAAACACGAGUUUUCAUCAUGCAGAUUAUCGUAACUCUGGUACGAAACGAAGCAACAACCAGUCACAAAUGCGCGGAGCAACAAUUAAUGACGUCCUAGAGCGAGUGGUACAAUUUAAAAAUAAAAUAAAACGGAGGUGGGGGUGAAAAUUUUUUUUUUUUCUAGUCAAGUAUCGUACGUGUCUCGCAUGUUAAUGAUAAUUAUUGUGUGCAUUUCGGGGUGUGGGGAAAAGGGAGGAUGAUGCUGCAUUGUUACCCUUACUCUGCGUGCCCUCCCAACCAACUUUGGAAACGUAAAUGUGGGGCAAAGGGGAAGGGUAGUAACUGUGUACAUAUUCGAGAUUACAUAGAACACGCUAUGCUUUUUCGAGGGAAAAAAAAAAAAAAAAAAAUUGGUGACAUGCAGGACAAGAGCGCGUCCAGCUGAUCUGGUGAGAAAUUUAUUUUUUACGCAAAAUUCGAUGCAAGGGAGCGAGAGUUAUACUCGAAGGGGGAAAACGCGAAAAAGGGACAAAAUAUAAACUAUAUAGUAGAGCGGACUUUGUAUCCUCACAGAACUGACAACGGCACUUGUUAGAAAUGUGGCCGAGGGGUGAAAAUUUUAACGGAGAAAACACACGAGUAGAAAAAGCAAGAAUGAGAAAACAAACGGGGUAAUUGUGAACAGAGAUAAAAAUAGAGAUAUAACCAACGACAAAUGCCGCAGCUGCUGUGGCGCGUUGAGUAUCGUGCUUCGAAGUUGCGCGCUAUAAAUAUUAAAUAUAUGGUUAUAAAUAUAUAUGAGAAAAAAAAAUAUAACAGUAACAAAGAAAAUAGCUGAGCGCGCGAGAAAAACUCGAAAUCGAAACAAUAGCGCGUAGGAGCAAUUUCUCUCUUCUGCUUCAUGCAACUUAUGGCUAUAUACUGAAGCUUUCGCGUUGUAGAGAAGGAGGAAAUGUCACGAGGCAGGCGAUGCUUGAGUUUUUUCACGCGCCCUAUACGAUAACACAAUACAGUGUACAUUUGAAUGUCAUACACUUGCGGUCACAAGUGUACGGAAGCCCGGU